rnacentral:rRNA from 1 species
AACGUAGGUUCCGAGCGUUAUCCGGAUUUAUUGGGCGUAAAGCGCACGUAGGCGGCAUUGCAAGUCGGAUGUGAAAUCCCUCGGCUUAACCAAGGAAGUGCAUCCGAAACUGCAGUGCUUGAGUACUUAAGAGGAUCGCGGAAUUCCCGGUGUAGAGGUGAAAUUCGUAGAUAUCGGGAGGAACACCAGUGGCGAAGGCGGCGAUCUGGGAAGAUACUGACGCUGAGGUGCGAAAGCGUGGGGAGCAAACAGG